rnacentral:tmRNA from 1 species
GGGGAUGCUUGGCUUCGACAGGGAGUUGACGUCGUUGGUUGCGAGUCGAAACGCCCAAUUUCGUAAAAAGGGCAAACGCCUUAACUGGCAAACAUAACACUGCGCCUCGUAUGGCGCUCGCUGCCUAAUUUAGUUUAGUGUAGCGCGUUCCCCGCAUGUUAUGCCUGGCGGUGUGUGGGGAGCGUCAUUUAGUCGGGCUGCUGCGAUGGAAGUGUCUGUGCACAUCGCCUAAGAUUAGCGGGCUGGUCUUCUCAACGCUUGGUCUGUUGAGCGUCGAAGGCGAGGAGAUAAUCAGCAGUCUACACUCGUAGAUGUCAGCGGCUGACCUUUUUGGACGGGGGUUCGAUUCCCCCCAUCUCCACCA